rnacentral:lncRNA from 1 species
CAAUUGACAUAUUUGAGUUUGAACAUAUACAUUCACAUUCUGACUUUUUAAAUACCCAUUUAAUAAGUGUGUGAGUUUUUUCUUAAUGAGAAUGUGAGGCAAUGUGGUGUGUAGGGUAGAAAAAUCAAAACUUUGAACAGAUUCAAAAUCACCAAUAUAAGCAUGCAAUUUAUCAAGUACUUCCAACGAGUUCUUGACACUC